CAGCGCCACAAGUGGGGAUCGCUUUUAUUGGGCCUAAAGCGUCCGUAGCCGGUUUAGCGAAUCUCUUGUGAAAUCGAUCGGCUCAACCGAUCGGCGUGCAGGAGACACUCCUAGACUAGGGACCGGGAGGGGUCAGAGGUAUUCUGGGGGGAGCGGUAAAAUGCUAUAAUCCCCGGAGGACCACCGGUGGCGAAGGCGUCUGACCAGAACGGAUCCGACGGUGAGGGACGAAAGCCAGGGGAGCAAUCCGGAUUAGAGACCCGAGUAGUCC
rnacentral:rRNA from 1 species